CCUACGGGAGGCAGCAGUGGGGAAUCUUAGACAAUGGGGGAAACCCUGAUCUAGCCAUGCCGCGUGAUCGAUGAAGGCCUUAGGGUUGUAAAGAUCUUUCAGAUGGGAAGAUAAUGACGGUACCAUCAGAAGAAGCCCCGGCUAACUCCGUGCCAGCAGCCGCGGUAAUACGGAGGGGGCUAGCGUUAUUCGGAAUUACUGGGCGUAAAGCGCACGUAGGCGGACUUGAAAGUUGGGGGUGAAAGCCCAGGGCUCAACCCUGGAACUGCCCUCAAACUCCAGGUCUUGAGGUCGAGAGAGGUGAGUGGAAUUCCGAGUGUAGAGGUGAAAUUCGUAGAUAUUCGGAGGAACACCGAGUGGCGAAGGCGGCUCACUGGCUCGAUACUGACGCUGAGGUGCGAAAGCGUGGGGANCAAACAGGAUUAGAUACCCUGGUAGUCCACGCCGUAAACGAUGAAUGCCAGUCGUCGGGUAGCAUGCUAUUCGGUGACACACCUAACGGAUUAAGCNCUCGCGUGGNGCGCGCGAGUAACGUAAGUAGUAGAGCGNGNGACGNGCGAGCGACGACGAGGAGAG
rnacentral:rRNA from 1 species